rnacentral:rRNA from 1 species
GACGAACGCUGGCGGCGUGCCUAACACAUGCAAGUCGAACGAGGCCAACCUUUCGGGGUUGAGUCGAGUGGCGGACGGGUGAGUAACACGUAAGCAAUCUAUCCCGUUGCGGGGGACAACGAGGGGAAACCUUCGCUAAUACCGCAUGGACAAGAGAUUCGAUGAGUCUUUUGGGAAACGUGGCCUCUUUACAAUGCUACGGCGACAGGAGGAGCUUGCGGGCUAUCAGCUAGUUGGNGAGGU